AAAAAAAUUAUUAUAAAUAAACUCGAAGAUUCAAAAGAAGCACAAAAAAGGGCACUCGAUUGAAAAAUAGAAAAAAAAAAGAGAAAACCGAGCGAAAAAACAAAAGAAACCAACACAGUAGGUAACAUUGACUCUGAACCAAAAACCACUUGUUUCCCAUUUUUGUUUGAAUAUCCACACCCUAACCCAAGCCAAGUUACAACCCGAAAGACCUCAAAAGUGUGUGUGUUGGGUGUAGGUGAUAUGAAAAGAGAGAC
rnacentral:lncRNA from 1 species